rnacentral:rRNA from 1 species
CAGUAGCCGCGGGAAUACGGAGGGGGCUAGCGUUGUUCGGAAUUACUGGGCGUAAAGCGCACGUAGGCGGCUUUGUAAGUAAGAGGUGAAAGCCCGGAGCUCAACUCCGGAACUGCCUUUUAGACUGCAUCGCUUGAAUCCAGGAGAGGUGAGUGGAAUUCCGAGUGUAGAGGUGAAAUUCGUAGAUAUUCGGAAGAACACCAGUGGCGAAGGCGGCUCACUGGACUGGUAUUGACGCUGAGGUGCGAAAGCGUGGGGAGCAAGCAGGAUUAGAGACCCCCGUAGUCCCUGUCUCUUAUAC